CCCAAGAAACAUCAUUAAGUGCCAAAUUCACAUCAAACGUCAAUAUUACACAAUCACGAGUUUACAAAGCAGAGAGAUUAUGAAGCAAAUACAUAAGAUAAUUACUUUCCGGGGACAAAGUUAGUAGCGUAAGACCAGGCGUUGUUAGCCACAGGAUCAGCCAAAUGAUCAAAUAAGUUCUCAAUGGGACCUUUACCAGUAACAAUGGCUUGGACAAAGAAUCCAAACAUAGAGAACAUGGCAAGACGACCGUUCUUGAGCUCCUUCACCUUCAGCUCAGAGAAAGCCUCUGGAUCCUCAGCCAAGUUCAAUGGGUCGAACGCACCUCCGGGAUAAAGCGGGUCAAGUCCUUCUCCGAGUGGUCCACCUCCGAUUCUGUAGCCUUCAAUGAACCCCAUGAGCACAACUUGAACAGCCCAGAUGGCUAAGAUGCUUUGCGCGUGGAUCAAGUUAGGGUUUCCGAGGUAAUCAAGACCUCCUUCUGAGAAAAUCUGAGAGCCUGCCUUGAACCACACGGCUUCUCCGAAUUUAACACCGUUCUUGGAGAGAAUUUCAGGGAAUGUGCAUCCGAGAGCACCCAACAUAGCCCAUCUGCUGUGGAUUACUUCAAGCUCACGGUUCUUAGCGAAUGUCUCCGGGUCAGCCGAGAGUCCAGCGGUGUCCCAGCCGUAGUCUCCGGGGUAUUCUCCAGUUAAGUAAGACGGUGUGUUCUCCGAGAAUGGUCCCAAGUACUUGGGACGGUCUGGUCCAUACCUGUUACAAAAUUAUAUUGCA
rnacentral:sRNA from 1 species